rnacentral:rRNA from 1 species
UUCGAAGCGGUUAGUGGCGGACUGGUGAGUAACACGUAAGCAACCUACCUGUUAGAGGGGAAUAACAGUGAGAAAUCACUGCUAAAACCGCAUAUGCCGUGAACAUCGCAUGAUGAAAACGGGAAAAGAGCAAUCUGCUAAUAGAUGGGCUUGCGUCUGAUUAGCUAGUUGGUGUGGUAAAGGCAUACCAAGGCGACGAUCAGUAGCCGGACUGAGAGGUUGAACGGCCACAUUGGGACUGAGAUACGGCCCAGACUCCUACGGGAGGCAGCAGUCGGGAAUAUUGCGCAAUGGAGGAAACUCUGACGCAGUGACGCCGCGUAUGGGAAGAAGGUUUUCGGAUUGUAAACCAUUUUAGACAAGGAAGAAACAAGACAGUACUUGUAGAAUAAGCUCCGGCUAACUACGUGCCAGCAGCCGCGGUAAUACGUAGGGAGCAAGCGUUAUCCGGAUUUAUUGGGUGUAAAGGGUGCGUAGACGGGAAGGUAAGUUAGUUGUGAAAUCUCCGGGCUUCACCCGGAAACUGCAUUUGAAACUGUAGCCCUUGAGUAUCGGAGAGGCAAGCGGAAUUCCUAGUGUAGCGGUGAAAUGCGUAGAUAUUAGGAGGAACACCAGUGGCGAAGGCGGCUU